rnacentral:rRNA from 1 species
GAUGAACGCUGGCGGCGUGCCUAACACAUGCAAGUCGAACGGAGUUUAACGCUGAUGAAGCUUCGGCAGAUUCUUGUUAAACUUAGUGGCGGACGGGUGAGUAACGCGUGGGUAACCUGCCUCAUACAGGGGGAUAGCAGUUGGAAACGACUGAUAACACCGCAUAAGCGCACAAGAUCGCAUGAUCUAGUGUGAAAAUAUUUAUAGGUAUGAGAUGGACCCGCGUCUGAUUAGCUAGUUGGUGAGGUAACGGCCCACCAAGGCGACGAUCAGUAGCCGGCCUGAGAGGGCGGACGGCCACAUUGGGACUGAGACACGGCCCAAACUCCUACGGGAGGCAGCAGUGGGGGAUAUUGCACAAUGGGCGAAAGCCUGAUGCAGCGACGCCGCGUGAGUGAAGAAGUAUUUCGGUAUGUAAAGCUCUAUCAGCAGGGAAGAAAGACCUCGUAAGAGGGGAUGACGGUACCUGAGUAAGAAGCCCCGGCUAACUACGUGCCAGCAGCCGCAGUAAGAC